rnacentral:rRNA from 1 species
CACACGACUCUCGGCAACGGAUAUCUCGGCUCUUGCAUCGAUGAAGAACGUAGCGAAAUGCUGAUACCUGGUGUGAAUUGCAGAAUCCCGUGAACCAUCGAGUCUUUGAACGCAAGUUGCGCCCGAGGCCACUCGGUCGAGGGCACGCCUGCUUGGGCGUCACGC